GAUGAAGAACGUAGCGAAAUGCGAUAAGUAAUGUGAAUUGCAGAAUUCAGUGAAUCAUCGAAUCUUUGAACGCACAUUGCGCCCGCCAGUAUUCUGGCGAGCAUGCCUGUUCCAGCGUCAUUUCAACCAUCAAGCCCCAGGCUUGUGUUGGAGCCCUGCGGCUGCCGCAGCCUCCCAAAACCAGUGGCGGGCUCGCUAUCACACCGAGUGCAGUAGUUUACUCUUCGCUCAGGGCGUGUGGCGGGUGCUAGCCGUGAAACCCCCAACUUCUCAAGGUUGACCUCGGAUCAGGUAGGAAUACCCGCUGAACUUAAGCAUAUCAAUAAGCGGAGGA
rnacentral:misc_RNA from 1 species